GAAUCCAUAGGUUAAUGAGGCGAACCGGGAGAACUGAAACAUCUCAGUACCCCGAGGAAAAGAAAUCAACCGAGAUUCCCCUAGUAGCGGCGAGCGAACGGGGAGCAGCCCAGAGUCUUAAUCAAUAGCAGUGUCAGGAGAACGGUCUGGAAAGUCCGGCAGUAAAGGGUGAUAGCCCCGUAUCUGAAGAUGCUGUUAUUGUGAACUCGACGAGUAGGGCGGGACACGUGUUAUCCUGUCUGAAUAUGGGGGGACCAUCCUCCAAGGCUAAAUACUCCUGAUUGACCGAUAGUGAACCAGUACCGUGAGGGAAAGGCGAAAAGAACCCCGGCGAGGGGAGUGAAAAAGAACCUGAAACCGUGUACGUACAAGCAGUAGGAGCCUCUUUAUGGGGUGACUGCGUACCUUUUGUAUAAUGGGUCAGCGACUUAUAUUCUGUAGCGAGGUUAACCGUAUAGGGGAGCCGUAGGGAAACCGAGUCUUAACUGGGCGAAUGAGUUGCAGGGUAUAGACCCGAAACCCGGUGAUCUAUCCAUGGGCAGGUUGAAGGUUGGGUAACACUAACUGGAGGACCGAACCGA
rnacentral:rRNA from 1 species